UCAGAAAUGAAUAUACUUAAGCUAUCAAUAGUACUUUUCCCACGUCUGAAACCGAAUUGGGAUUCACAUAAUAGACCGUUAUGCUCAACAAACCAUUCUAAACGAUUUUUUAUAAGAUGUUCUGUAAUUUUCAUCAAAACAGAAGAAAGUGCGAUUGGGCGAUAGGCAGAAUGGUCUGAAGAACACCUAUUAGGUUUCAGUACGGGAAUUAUUUCUUGACGUUUCCACGUGGAGGGGAUGUUACCAGAUGUCACUAUGGAAUUUAUAAGAGAUAAAUAAUAAAAUAAAGCAUCAUCAUCUAAAUGAGAGAUAAAGGAAUACGGAAUACCGUCCAGUCCAGGAGCAGAAUCCUUAACAUGAGACAAUACACUUUUUAGUUCAGUGAGAGAAAAUAUACUGUUUAAACCAAAACAGUUAUCAUUAUUUAUAUUUAUUACAGGGUAACCAAUUAUUAAGUCUUCAGGAACGAAAGGUGGAGCCAAUUUAUCUAAAAAGCUAUUAACUAAAUGAAAAGGGAUUGAUUUUGGAGAUGAAUCUUUGUAUGCAGAUCUAAACCUUCUUAUAUUUUGCCAUACAAGAGAUGGUUUGACAUCAGCAUAUUUUCUUCUCUUUACUGCCUCAGUACAUUCGUUAUCCCACCAAGGAGGAGAAGGAAUAAAACCCAAAGAGCUAUUUUUACUUGGAAAUAUCUCAUUGGCAACCUCAAUAAAGAUUCUUGCUAAAGAAUCUGCACACUGAGAUUCUGUACCUGGAUUAAUUUUUGGAAGUGUUGGAAAUGAUAAUAAUAGUGGGAAGUGAUCACAGAUCAAGUGAUCAAAAGUAGAUCGUAAUGGAUCCCAGGACAAAGAAGAAGCAAGAUUAGGUGUAGUGACUGUUAAAUCUGGAGCACUUGGGCCCUCGUCAGGAUGAGAACGUCGUGUAGGACGACCAUCAUUUAAUAUACACAAAUUCACUGAAUCAAAUAUAUCUAUUAAUGUGUUACCAUAACUAUUAGAAGAUAAGUAACCCCAGGAUUCAUGGCGACAGUUAAAAUCACCAAGGAUCAUAAAAGGCUUCGGAAGAAUGGAAAUAAUAUCUUUAAUUUCAUUUAAGAUUGCAGAAGAAGGAUGAGGUAUAUAAAUAGAUACAUAACAGAUAUUUUCAACUAAAGCAGCAAUAAUAGAAAAAUCAUUACUGUGAGAAGGAAUAGAGAAGAGGGAAAAGGAAAGAGGGUGUUUCACAAGCAUGGCUACUCCGCCAUGCCCAUCCACACGAUCUUCUCUGAGACAUGAAUAACCACGAAUCUUAAAUAAAGAUCCUGGUUUCAACCAUGUCUCUUGAAGAGCACAGAUAUAAGAAACUAAUAAGGCAGCGUUGGACGGUGAAAAUUCAUUCGAUUGACUAAGAGAUUUUAUAAGAGAAAUAAUUAAAUCAAUUACUGAGGAUUCCAAAGGAUUUUCAUUUUCUUUGUUAAUUAAUGCACAUCCAUUAGAGGGUUGGGGAAUAUUAAAAUCCCUUAAAAUUUCUUGGUGAGCAGAUUUGUCAUAUCCUUUGCUAAGUGUAGGUGGAGGCUUUGGUUUAACAAAAACAGUUUUUUUAUAUGAAGUAUUGUUUAUAGCUUUAGGUGUUGAAUGUUGAUGCUGGGUUGGAAAAGUAUUAGGAGUGAUGUUAGGUGAUGAGAGUAAUGUAUCUGCAUAUGAAAUUCGAGAGACAGAUGGAUGUAUCUUUGAAGCUUCUGAAUAGGAAAUACAGUUUUUAGCCAUUGAUUCCUUUAUAGCUCUUUGUCUUUCAUAUUCUAAACAUUUUUUAUCAGUUGCAAUAUGGGAACCUUUACAUAAACAACAAGAUAUAAAAUCAUCUUGAACAGAGCAGUUAUCACCACUAUGUCCUUGACCACAUCUAAAACAUCUUGGUUUAGAUCUGCAUUGAGAUUUCACAUGACCAAACCGACAACAAUUGUAGCAUUGAAUAGUAGGAUAUAUAUACAAGUCUACAGUAAGAGAAGUGUAGCACAUAUAUACUCGUUUAGGCAAAAACUGUCCAUCAAAAGUAAAUACCACAGACUCAGUACAUUUAAGAUGGUUUUGUCCAUCAAUCAUCAUCUUUCGUUUUAUUCUCCUAAUUUUUAUGAUUGGACCACAGCCAAUAGGAACAGAAACAUUAUCUUUUAUUUCCUCUUCAGACCACUCAGCUGGUACUCCUCUGACUAUUCCUAUUCUACUCACAGAAAAUGAUGGAAUAAAAGCCUUAUAUUUUUCAUUUUCUAAAUUUUUGUUUUCAACAAAGUCAUUUGCAUCUUGGUACUUAGAAAAAGAAAUAGAUAACCUAUUCCGGCCUAUCCUUUUUAAACUUCCAUUCACAAUAUUUUUAAUAGAAUUUCUUUUGAGAAAACGACCAAAUGUAACUGGAUGUAAAGUAACAUUAUCAUCGGGAGAUGAAUACUGUUUCUGAAUGUGUACAACAAAAGGAGCAGCAUCUAAUGAGUUAUAUAACAGCCUUGCAACAGGGGGCUGUGGCUGUUGUGGAGUGUCUGUGUUAUUUUUUUGUAUUGUCUCUACUACUAUAGAAGAAUUCUUGCAG